rnacentral:rRNA from 1 species
ACGGGUGAGUAACACGUGGAUUAUCUACCUUCUAGUGGGGAAUACCUCCGGGAAACUGGAGACAAUACCGCAUAAGCUCGUAAGAGGAAAGCAGCAAUGCGCUGGAAGAGGAGUCCGCGGCUGAUUAGCUAGUUGGCGGGGUAACGGCCCACCAAGGCGAAGAUCGGUAGCCGGCCUGAGAGGGCACACGGCCACACUGGCACUGAAACACGGGCCAGACUCCUACGGGAGGCAGCAGUGGGGAAUCUUGCACAAUGGAGGAAACUCUGAUGCAGCGACGCCGCGUGAGCGAUGAAGCCCUUCGGGGUGUAAAGCUCUUUCGACGGGAACGAUAAUGACGGUACCCGAAGAAGAAGCUGCGGCUAACUACGUGCCAGCAGCCGCGG